rnacentral:rRNA from 1 species
AACGAACGCUGGCGGCAUGCCUAACACAUGCAAGUCGAACGAGACCUUCGGGUCUAGUGGCGCACGGGUGCGUAACGCGUGGGAACCUGCCCUUAGGUUCGGAAUAACUCCCCGAAAGGGGUGCUAAUACCGGAUAAUGUCUUCGGACCAAAGAUUUAUCGCCUUUGGUUGGGCCCGCGUUGGAUUAGCUAGUUGGUAGGGUAAAAGCCUACCAAGGCGACGAUCCAUAGCUGGUCUGAGAGGAUGAUCAGCCACACUGGGACUGAGACACGGCCCAGACUCCUACGGGAGGCAGCAGUGGGGAAUAUUGGACAAUGGGCGAAAGUCUGAUCCAGCAAUGCCGCGUGAGUGAUGAAGGCCUUAGGGUUGUAAAGCUCUUUUACCCGGGAUGAUAAUGACAGUACCGGGAGAAUAAGCUCCGGCUAACUCCGUG